UACCAGCACCCCGAGUGGUCGGGACGAUUAUUGGGCCUAAAGCAUCCGUAGCCGGUCUUGCAAGUCUUCCGUUAAAUCCAGCUGCUUAACAGAUGGGCUGCGGAAGAUACUACAAGACUAGGAGGCGGGAGAGGCAAGCGGUACUCAGUGGGUAGGGGUAAAAUCCGUUGAUCCAUUGAAGACCACCAGUGGCGAAGGCGGCUUGCCAGAAUGCGCUCGACGGUGAGGGAUGAAAGCUGGGGGGAGCAAACCGG
rnacentral:rRNA from 1 species